CUGGGGGUCUCAUUGGGGGGUUCUGAUCCCGGAUCCCGCUUACUGUUUUGGCAGAUUCCCGUAUUCCGCUUAUUGUUUUGUCAGAUUCCCGUAUCCCGCUUAUACUAUGCAGUUCUCAUCUUUGUAAUUAUCCGUGUCCCGCUAGACUUCAUUUCUCGUUUUUCACGACACAAUCAUUUGACUUUCACCUGUCACGCUUGCAAAAAAUCGGCAAUCCGGCGUCACGCUUAUACCCAAAUGCGAC
rnacentral:lncRNA from 1 species